CGAGAUGAGCACACAACUCCAGAGUCGUCCGCAACUGGACCUAACAGUCAGGGGUCCCUUUACCUUAUCUUUAUGCAGAAGGGGCAGCAUGGUAGCAAGGGUGGAGUCUUGAGGAAGCCGGAGACCUUCACACAAUGGAGGGCAGUGGAUCUGGAGGAGUACAAAAGUAACCUUUUGUUAAUUACAGGAGUCUUUUUGAUUCCGUUUGUUAUGGCUGCAUCAUUUUCCUGUCUGUUUAAGUGGACUUUUAUUUUUCAGGUUUGAGAAUUAGCAAUGGUGGGCACUUACUGAACAAUAUCCCACUUUUUAGCAUUAUUUUUAAACUGAUGUGCCAAUGUGGAGAGCUGAACUUAAGAUUGGAAAACUUUAGAAACUGAGAGAAACCAAAACAGACAGAUGUAACUCAUUGUAACUAAGGAAGGCAGUUGGCAAAAAAACUUAUUUGAGGAGAAAACAGUUCUCUCUUGGAAAAGAGAGAAAGGGAGAAAUCCAACCCUCCAGAUACCUUCCCCGACAUAAAGGCAAACUGUUCUUCAGCUUCUUGAAUCAGGAAUUCCAGUCCAGAUGUGGUGGACUCACAGUUCCCAUCAGCCCCAGUCGGAGAGGGCGGAGGUCAGGGUGAUGGGAAUUGUAGUCUUAAGCGCCUCAGCUUCCACACCUCUAGUUUCGAACUCUUUGCAUGAACAGAAUUGGAUCUAACACUGAUAUGGAGUUGGAGGCUACAGGGGCACCAGAUGGUCAAAUUCAGGGCUCAGAACUGACUGCAGAAAAUAGGGAGACGAUUGUGCCUGAGGCUGUUGGACAGGAGCAGCCAGAGGAACUUCCCAGACCACCAGGGCCUAUAGCAGUGAUGGUGAACCUUUUAGAGACCGAGGGCCCAAACUGCAACCCAAAACCCACUUAUUUAUCGCAAAGUGCCAACAUGGCAAUUUAACCUGUAUAUCUCAUUUUUUCUGUAUGUUUCACGUUUCUUCUUUAUGACUGCUGUUGUAAUAAAUAAUCCUUCAUAAAA